CUCGGAAGAUGGAGGAGGGUGAGAGGCGAGUGAAGACGAGAGCGGAAGAGCGAGAAUGCCGACUACUCGUUCGGCUUCACGUCCUCGUAUGGAUUUACCAGGCUUUGGCAACUGCAUGGAAAUGUGCUUCAAGUUCAGAAGGAGAUCUGAGCCCCUGCAGUAGCUUCAGAUUGUUUCAGAAGUACUGCAAAGCUAAGCUUUGAUGGAUACUGUAAAGAAGUACGAAGAUGUCCAAGCAUGGAAAACACAAUUCUAAAGGGAAUGCAUAGGAGACACACCACUUCAGAUCCUCUCAUUCUUCUUCUCUUUUUGCAUUGUUCUUUUCUUUAGCCAUUCAUGAAAAGGUUGCUGCUAACAUCCAAUGUCUCCUCAGAUAGGUGCCUUGCUGACACAGAAUAAUCAUCACUUGGGCCUUGGAUGUCACACCGGUGGUUCUUAGAGCAGAUAGCUCAUGUGUUCUGAACAAGGAACAAUUCCAUACCUCCCACGUAUAUUAUGGACCAUAUAAAGAUUGGAUGCAUGCAAGGAUCAAGUCUCAUCCAAGUUGUGCUCAGAAAUUACCAAGUUAGAGCUCUGCUUUUGGAGUGGACUAAAACCAUAAUAACAAGUCUGGUGUGUAUCUUCACUUGUGAUCUUUGGGAAAAUGGAAGACAACUGGGUUCGGUACGGCACAUGGCUGAUUGGCACCCACCCACUUUGGGUUGCUUUGCCUAUGGGUGGUGAUGGUGGUGGUGGCGGUGGUGUUGGCAGCAGAGGAUUUCAACUAGAUUAGAGACCUGAGGAUUCCAUUUUCAUCUGUUAAGGGGUAGUGGCAUCCAAUGCCAUCCUGAUCUCUUCAGCCAGAGAGAAUACAGAACAAUGAGUCCAUCAAACUUGUUCCUAUCUCAUCAGUUCUGUAUAUUUCCUUUGGACCACAACUGCCAUUUUCAUGCUUCUUUUUGGUCUGUCCCCCCAUGGCUUGUCCGGUGGCAGAUGCUGCUGAACUAAACUUGGCAAUGAAAGUGACUCUCUCAUGGACAUCAGCACUUUGAUCGGAUGAGGUGAUGGAGUUAAGAUUCCUUGGAAACCCCACUUUGACUACAGUGCUUGAUUAGUUCUCACGAUGAUGUAUUGGCUAAAUUAUAGGUGCUCUUUUAACUUUGGUUGUACUUGAUUUGAGGAGCUUUGGCAUCUUGAGCUCAACCAGAGCUGUAGAAGUUUCAAGACCAUGAAUGUGUCAUAAAAGAAAUGUUCUUGAUCUGAGCAGUUAGGCAUUGGCUUCUUGAGGUCAAGCAUUUCUGUAAGAAUAAACCUACCGUGACAACCAUAUGUCUUCCCAAGGCAUUCAAAGAGGAGAGAUGGAUUUGUUGAGA